AUUGAACGCUGGCGGCAGGCCUAACACAUGUAAGUCGAACGAGUGGCGGACGGGUGAGUAAUGUCUGGGAAACUGCCUGCUGGCGGGGGAUAACUUCUGGAAACGGUAGCUAAUACCGCAUACCCUCAUAUGUGCCCAGAUGGGAUUAGCUAGUUGUGGGGGUAACGGCGCACCAAGGCGACGAUCCCUAGCGGGUCUGAGAGGAUGACCAGCCAAACUGGAACUGUGACACGGGCCAGACUGCUACGGGAGGAAGCAGUGGGGAAUAUUGCAAAAUGGGCGAAAGCCUGAUGAAGCCAUGCCGCGUGUAUGAAGAAGGCCUUCGGGGUGGAAAGUACUUUCAGCGGGGAGGCGUUACCCGCAGAAGAAGCACCGGCUAACUCCGUGCCAGCAGCCGCGGUAAUUC
rnacentral:rRNA from 1 species